AGGAAGCGGGACGACGUCAAAUCAUCAUGCCCCUUACGUUCCGGGCUACACACGUACUACAAUGGCGCAAACAAAGGGAAGCGAGAUCGCGAGAUGGAGCAAACCCCGUAAAAGGCGUCCCAGUUCGGACUGCAGGCUGCAACCCGCCUGCACGAAGUUGGAAUUGCUAGUAAUCGCGGAUCAGCAUGCCGCGGUGAAUACGUUCCCGGGCUUU
rnacentral:rRNA from 1 species